GCGAUCAUACAAGCACUAAUGCAUGGGAUCCCAUCAAAACUCUGAAGUUAAGCGUGCUUGUCCGAGAGUAGUACUAGGAUGGGUGACCCCCUGGGAAGUCCUCGUGUUGCACCCC
rnacentral:rRNA from 1 species